CUUGCAAACUGAAGAUGGCGACCGGCGCACGGGUGAGUAACACGUAUCCAACCUGCCGAUAACUCCGGAAUAGCCUUUCGAAAGAAAGAUUAAUACCGGAUAGCAUACGAAUAUCGCAUGAUAUUUUUAUUAAAGAAUUUCGGUUAUCGAUGGGGAUGCGUUCCAUUAGUUUGUUGGCGGGGUAACGGCCCACCAAGACUACGAUGGAUAGGGGUUCUGAGAGGAAGGUCCCCCACAUUGGAACUGAGACACGGUCCAAACUCCUACGGGAGGCAGCAGUGAGGAAUAUUGGUCAAUGGGCGAGAGCCUGAACCAGCCAAGUAGCGUGAAGGAUGAAGGCUCUAUGGGUCGUAAACUUCUUUUAUAUGGGAAUAAAGUUUUCCACGUGUGGAAUUUUGUAUGUACCAUAUGAAUAAGGAUCGGCUAACUCCGUGCCAGCAGCCGCGGUAAUACGGAGGAUCCGAGCGUUAUCCGGAUUUAUUGGGUUUAAAGGGAGCGUAGGUGGAUUGUUAAGUCAGUUGUGAAAGUUUGCGGCUCAACCGUAAAAUUGCAGUUGAAACUGGCAGUCUUGAGUACAGUAGAGGUGGGCGGAAUUCGUGGUGUAGCGGUGA
rnacentral:rRNA from 1 species